ACGCUCGACACCUACGGAAGGCAGCAGUGGGGAAUAUUGCACAAUGGGGGAAACCCUGAUGCAGCGACGCCGCGUGAGUGAAGAAGUAAUUCGUUAUGUAAAGCUCUAUCAGCAGGGAAGAAAGUGACGGUACCUGAGUAAGAAGCCCCGGCUAACUACGUGCCAGCAGCCACGGUAAUCUGAGCGGGCUGGCAAGGC
rnacentral:rRNA from 1 species